rnacentral:rRNA from 1 species
GACGACGCUGGCGGCGUGCCUAAUACAUGCAAGUCGAACGAGUGGCGGACGGGUGAGUAACACGUGGGAACCUACCCAUCAGAGGGGGAUAACUACUGGAAACGGUAGCUAAUACCGCAUACCAUCGGAUGUGCCCAGAUGGGAUUGGCUAGUAGGUGGGGUAAAGGCUCACAUAGGCGACGAUCCCUAGCUGGUCUGGGAGGGUAGCCAGCAACACUGGAACUAGAACACGGUCCAGACUCCUAGGGGAGGCAUCAGUGGGGAAUGUUGCACAAUGGGCGCAAGCCUGAUGCAGCCAUGCCGCGUGUAGGAGGAAGGCCUUCGGGUUGUAAAGUACUUUCAGCGGGAAGGCGUUACCGGCAGAAGAAGCACCUGCUAACUCCGUGCCAGCAGCCGCGGUAAUAC